GUGAUGUAAUGGCAGGAAGAAGGUGUGUCUUGCUCUUUGCUGGUUCCUGCUUGCUGUUUGCAGCCACCAUGAACUGCGGCCCAGCCAUGCCCACCUGCCUUGGAGCCAACUAAGUAUGGACCUCCAAAAACUUCUUCCAUCAGAAUUAAAUGAGACACUGGAAACUUCAAAAAGUCAUCGGUGAAAAAGGAAUCAGACACACACACAACCUACCAGGCCAGCACAGAUGUGUAAGUUCUGCCUUGAGCCAGUGCCUCAGUGUCUGUUUUAAAAGCAGAGUCUUACUGCAUAACUCAGGCUGCCCUUGAACUCAGAAUCCUCUUGCCUCAGCUCUCAGCAGUGCUAAAGUUACAGGGGGAAAAAUGAUUGACUGGCUAAGUCUCUGAAAUUGCCAUUCUCCUCCAGAGAAAAAAUAUCAUUAAGGCUCCUGUAGUCCACCAAUGAAACAAAAUCCUGCUUAACCUCUUCCACCUCCGGGUCUUCCUUGGGACGCCUUCAUGACUGCUUAAAGGUGGCCAGAGGCAACCAUGCAGGCUGGGAGGAGAACCCAGAAGAAGCUAACCCUUUCCUGUGAGCCAGCAGCAGUUGUGGGCCAGGCCAACCCUUUCCUGUGAGCUAAUGACAAUCAUGUGGGCCAGGAGGAGAGCCAAGAAGAAGCUAACCCCUUCCUGUGAGCAAACCAGCAGGUGGGCUGGGAGAUAAGAAGUGCUGAGCUACCACUCCCAUCCCAGGCCCAGUAAACACCUGGCUGAUUCAGAGAAACACAAGCUAGAUGGUAGCUACUGAAUAAGCAUUGGCCAGCCAGGUAUGGUCCAGCAUGCCUAUAAUCUCAGCACUCAAGAGGCUGAAGCAGGAGGAUUGCUGCGAGUUGGAGACCAGCCUAGGCUACAAAGUGAGUUCAAGACCUGCAUAGUGAAGCCCUGCCUCAAAAAGAAAAAAAUAAUAAUAAAAAUAAG